GUGCUUACUUCGGCAGCACACAUACUAAAAUUAGAAUGAUAUAGAGAUUAGCAUGGCUCCUGUGCAAGGAUGACAUGCAAACUCAUGAAGCAUUCCAUAUUUUU
ensembl:snRNA U6 U6 spliceosomal RNA